rnacentral:rRNA from 1 species
UACAGAGGUCCCAAGCGUUGUUCGGAUUCACUGGGCGUAAAGGGUGCGCAGGUGGCUGAGUCAGUCGAUUGUGAAAGCCCUGGGCUUAACCUGGGAAUUGCAGUCGAUACUACUCAGCUAGAGUAUGGGAGAGGGUAGUGGAAUUCCCGGUGUAGCGGUGAAAUGCGUAGAUAUCGGGAGGAACAUCAGUGGCGAAGGCGGCUACCUGGCCCAAUACUGACACUCAGGUGCGACAGCGUGGGGAGCAAACAGG